rnacentral:rRNA from 1 species
GUUGCUAACGGGUAAAGCCGAGCACUCUGGACGAACUGCCGUUGACAAAACGGAGGAAGGUGGGAUGACGUCAAAUCAUCAUGCCCCUUAUGUCCUGGGCCACACACGUGCUACAAUGGCCGGUACAGAGGGAAGCGAAGCCGUGAGGUGGAGCAAAUCCCAAAAAGACCGGUCUCAGUUCGGAUUGCAGGCUGCAAUUCGCCUGCAUGAAGUCGGAAUCGCUAGUAAUCGCAGGUCAGCAUACUGCGGUGAAUACGUUCCCGGGCCUU